rnacentral:rRNA from 1 species
GGUUAAGCGACUACGAGUACACGGUGGCUGCCCUGGCAGUCAGUGGCGAUGAAGGGCGUGCUAAUCUGCGAUAAGCGCCGGUAAGGUGAUAUGAAC